ACGGAAGGCAGCAGUGGGGAAUUUUGGGCAAUGGGCGAAAGCCUGACCCAGCGACGCCGCGUGAAGGAAGAAGGUCUUCGGAUUGUAAACUUCUGUCAACAGGGACGAAAAAAAUGACGGUACCUGUGGAGGAAGCCACGGCUAACUACGUGCCCGCAGCCGCGGUAAUACGUAGGUGGCGAGCGUUAUCCGGAUUUACUGGGUGUAAAGGGUGUGUAGGCGGGGAAGCAAGUCAGAUGUGAAAACUAUGGGCUCAACCCAUAAAGUGCAUUUGAAACUGUUUCUCUUGAGGAUCGGAGGGGUAAAUAGAAUUCCCGGUGUAGCAGUGAAAUGCGUAGAGAUCGGGAGGAACACCAGUGGCGAAGGCGAUUUACUGGACGACAACUGACGCUGAGACACGAAAGCGUGGGGAGCAAACAGGAUUAGAUACCCUGGUA
rnacentral:rRNA from 1 species